GGCACAGAAGCUGUCAUGGUAGAAGCCAAAAAAGAUAUUAAAGCAACUACUUCGAGUACAAUGAGACCAACAAUGUGCCAGGGUCUGCUUAGCAGGACAUGCAUCUGUUGCAAGACUUAACUCCAACAUCAGCAUUCCAUGGUACUGUAAUGUUAGCUGGGAAUAACAAAGGAGGGUUGGUGAAGAAGGAGUGCCCCUUUCCCUCUAUUAUAUCUGGUGAUACAGUUUGUCAGAUUACAUGUCAUACAAGUUACAUGAGUUGUGUUUUUCUUUUUAACAGACAAACACAUUACACCUAUUUAUGCCAUGAAUUUAAUUAUAUCAAAUAUAGCAGGAAUCUACUAUGUUGGUCCCAUGAUAAACAUUCUGGCUGUUUAAAAGUAACCUUCGAGGAAAAGACAACAUAUAGGGGACCCAGAACAGCUAAUAAGACUUACAUUUCUAGAAAUUAAUGCAUAAGGAGAUUGAACACAGACCUACUGGCCAUAGCAGGAACCCUCUUUGCAGUUCCUGUCUAUAAAGUCAGGCAUGGGGCCAUCUGUAUAUUCGAGAAAAAUUGGAGGCAGCUGUUAAAUGCUAUAGAUCUGUUUGUAUGCCACCAUCACUGAAAGUCAAGACAUUACUAACAAAUUCUCCAGGAGUCAGGAAUCCUGACAUAGCUAUCUCUUUUCAAUUCUUGGAGGCCAAUCCAAAAUAUAUCCACCACCACUAACAGGAAAUUUAUGCUGUACUAGCAAGGCAUUUGUACAUUUCAUCCACUUAGGAAAGAUACCACAUUCUAUUGCAGAAUGAUUAAAGCAGUAAGAUAUUGGUCGAUGUUCCAUGGGAAUGACUGGCUUAUUAUGGGCAAGUCCCAUUUUAAUAACUGUCUGGACAUAUGAUCUCAAGUCCCAAGGCCCGGUAUUAUUAGCUGUUCUGGGUCCCCUAUAAGUUGUCUUUUCC
rnacentral:lncRNA from 1 species